rnacentral:rRNA from 1 species
UGAGUGGCGGACGGGUGAGUAACGCGUGGGCAACCUGCCCUGUACAGGGGGACAACACUUAGAAAUAGGUGCUAAUACCGCAUAACGGGGGAGCCGCAUGGCACCCCCCUGAAAACUCCGGUGGUACAGGAUGGGCCCGCGUCUGAUUAGCUGGUUGGCAGGGUAACGGCCUACCAAGGCGACGAUCAGUAGCCGGCCUGAGAGGCGGACGGCCCACACUGGGACUGAGACACGGCCCAGACUCCUACGGGAGGCAGCAG